rnacentral:rRNA from 1 species
GAUGAACGCUGGCGGCAGGCUUAACACAUGCAAGUCGAACGCCCUAGCAAUAGGGAGUGGCGCACGGGUGAGUAACGCGUGGGAAUGUACCGUUUAGUGGGGGAUAACCAAGGGAAACUUUGGCUAAUACCGCAUACGCCCUUCGGGGGAAAGAUUUAUCGCUAAACGAUCAGCCCGCGUGAGAUUAGGUAGUUGGUGGGGUAACGGCCUACCAAGCCGACGAUCUCUAGCUGGUCUGAGAGGAGGAUCAGCCACACUGGAACUGAGACACGGUCCAGACUCCUACGGGAGGCAGCAGUGGGGAAUAUUGGACAAUGGGGGCAACCCUGAUCCAGCCAUGCCGCGUGAGUGAUGAAGGCCUUAGGGUUGUAAAGCUCUUUUACCGAUGAAGAUAAUGACGGUAGUCGGAGAAAAAGCCCCGGCUAACUUCGUGCCAGCCGCCGCAGUAA